rnacentral:lncRNA from 1 species
UAUCAAACGCCAUCCCCUUCGAACAAGUUGACCAUUGGUGACAACAGGAACGCCACCAUGUGACUAUGUAUCACUGAAGGUAUAAAAGCGCGGAAUUUUGAAAGUGCGUUCAUUCAACAGCGGGCAGAUGUAGAGCAACAGAAAGGAUGACAUGUGCUGCGUCCCAUAUCAAGCAAAAAGGACACGGGAGUUAACUCGCAUUUUUCCGAAGCUUUCCCUCAUCAUUCGUCAACGCAUCGUUCAUCGACAUUAUGAUUCUUGCACACGCAGACGUCUGGACGGUGGAUUCGACGUUUCUCUAAGCUGGCCAGCUAAAACCUUCGCUUCUCCGCACGAGGAAUCGUCGCUCAGGAAUCUUCGCAGGAUACAUCAUCGGCUUUCUGCUGGUCUAGGCUCUAUUGUUGUAGUGUCAUUGCAUUAUUCCCACGCGUUCCAGGUUUCUUCUUAUUACAGGUCCAGGAAGCAGACUGCAGAGGGCUGACAUAGGUAGGGAAAACUCAUUUAUCCGUUUUUCUUUCUGCUUACAGAACUCUAUUAUGGUGAUUCUAGAUAGAGCUCCCACUGACAUCUGCAAGGAGAAGAGGGCCACACCUACACUUUAGAUAUUACCAUCAAUCCUUGGUGCCAACGAGUCCUGUCAUGGUCUGCCUACAAGGUGGCUGCAUUGGGGAAGCGUCCAGCGAGUCCUGCCAUGGUCUGCCUACAAGGUGGCUGCAUUGGGGAAGCGUCCAAGGUAUAUGGUGUUUCAAUGAGAUGGAAAACCCUCAGAGAGAACAAAAGAAAAGGAGAUGAGAUCCUGGAAAAUUCCAACGUGAAAACAAAGCUGCUGGACAGCAAGAAGUCGGUGACCUGAUAGUGCUGGGUUUGCCUUGGAAGAGACGCCGACUUGAAGGCCUACUUCUCACUGAUUGGUGAAGCCGUCAUGUCACAGGAUUGGAUUAUAGCAAAGCCUGAUAGAGGUCCCACUUUUCGUAAGAAGUGCAAAACGAGUGGCAAAUGUAAUCCUUUCAAUCAAUCCUUGGGUGGUGAUUCCUGCCAUGGUCUUUAUAAGAUGGCUGCCUGGGGGAACAUAAGAAGCAUGCGGUGUUUCACUGAAAUGGAAACCUUCCAAGCCGUAAAAGGUGAGACAGAUAGCAUUGGCGAGCGCCUGGCCUGAUGAUGGUCCACUUUCACGAGGUAAAAAUGGAGAAAGCGAUAUCAACAUAUGGGAUUUCAAGAGUCCUUGCCUAGCUGUGAUACCAUUGGGAUUAAGGCCCUUCGAGGCCACGGAGGUGCAGUUUUCCAGAAAUGAUGCCCGAACGCAGACACCAACAAUCCUAGCCCAAAUGUCCAAGAUGUGAAACACUUAAUGGCGCUAACAACGAGCCCCUUUUGCCACUUCCAUUGAUGAUCGGUCGUCCUUGGCAGUCUUGGUUUUUAAAGACAGUUUGUCUGCGAAAAAACUUUAAGGAAUGUGGAAUGGUAAUGAAGAGCGAUAUUCUGAAUGUAAAAGGAAUACAAUCUAAUAAUGUAGUCAAGUCUAUAUUGAGAAUUUUUGCGGUUCAUGGGACACAGAUAUGGGUCUGGUGUAAUUGCAUUUAGUAAGUUUUAAUUUUUCACUUAAGACAGUGCACCAUUUUAUUUCAAUAGCUUAAGAGAAACUGAAGUUCGGGAUGAUCAUUCAUAAUUCCAUAAAUGAUCAGUUGAAUAGGAUGAAUUGUGGUUCUGUGUGAAAAUUUUGAGUCUGCCUCUAUAGUCAUAUUUUAAAAAAUAAAAUUGAAUAUCCAGAUGAUUUAUCCACAUUCAAAAUGCAGAUAGAUUUUCGCUCACAAAAACAUUACCACAUAGGCAUUACCACCACUUAUGGUCGUCUGUUUUAUUUCAAUCCUAGUGAUGUAGUUAUUUUUCAAAUUUGUGCUUUUGAUGAUGUGGAGUUGUUUGUCAGUAUAGCUUUUGAGAAGAUCAUAACUCGCACAUUAACCAUAUCUAACAACCCUCACAAAUUUGUAAAAUCCGACUUGAUGUAAAUGCUUUUACAUGAAGAGGCUUUACAUUGAUAGCUUGUGCAAAAUCUGUAAUGAAAUAUUUUACGUUGCAGAAAAUAUUUCAUUGUUUUUGCACAGUCUGCUCCUCGUGUGGGAUGGCUGGGUGCACACGGUCAUCUCUCAAGAUAGAGGAUCGCAAUUUACUUAUAUUACUAAUGUUAUGAUUUUCUCAAGUGUUAUAGUUGACAGAUAUAUCCAAUUCAUUAAAUAUGCACCCUGUUCUCCGGAUAAAAAAAUUCCUAUUGAAAUUUACAUGGACGGUCAUACAGUGAAAUGUGAGAUCUGAAAUAUUUCAAAGCAAGCUUGCUUUAUUCUUGACUUGUAUCAUACAGGUAGUUGCGAUUUCAGGGAAACUUCUAUUUUAAAUUGAGUUAUAUGUCAAAGUUUAGUUUAAACCAUUGAGGUGCUCGAGUUGUAGUCAUAUAACCUGAA